rnacentral:misc_RNA from 1 species
GGCGAGUUGUACUUAGUCACUCAAAUUCAUGUCUAGAUUCAAUUCAACAUGAAUCUAAGACAUAAAUAUGUAAGACUUAUAUCUUUAAUACUAAGUUCAAGUUUCAGCUUUCAUCAAGGCUUACAAUAAAGUGAAGUACCAUCAGAAAGGUGAAGGGUGCAGUUCUUGGGAGCCAAGCAGCAGUUGCACCUGGGGCUAAGCUUCUUAUCCCCUGAAGAC